UACGAAGGGGGCUAGCGUUGUUCGGAAUCACUGGGCGUAAAGGGCGCGUAGGCGGCUUUAUAAGUCGGGGGGUGAAAGCCUGUGGCUCAACCACAGAAUUGCCUUCGAUACUGUAGAGCUUGAGACCGGAAGAGGUAAGUGGAACUGCGAGUGUAGAGGUGAAAUUCGUAGAUAUUCGCAAGAACACCAGUGGCGAAGGCGGCCCACUGGAUCGGUACUGACGCUGAGGUGCGAAAAGCGGUGGGGAGCAAACAGGG
rnacentral:rRNA from 1 species